UCUGUUCUUAGUGUUGUUAUUUUUUUGAGUUUGGUGGUUGAUUUCAUGGUCUUUGACAAUUCUGUUUAUGUUUCUCUUUUGACAUAUGUGGAGACAUUGAAGGGGUGGAAGCCUGAAUCUGUUGAUUUGUGCCAUUGAUCAAAGCCUGUGAUCUGCUUGUGUAUCUGUGAUUCUCUGGUUUUAUCUGUGAUUCUCUGGUUUUUAUAAAAGUGGAAGCCUAAGUCCCUUUGUUGGCAGAUGGAAACCAAUUCACAGAUUCCAAUAGUUGAGCGAAUUGGGACUGAGAGCAAUAUAGCUCCCAGUCCUAUUGCUCCUGUUGAUGGUGCUGCUGCUGUGGGUAAUAUUGAGGGUUCAACACAGGCUCAACAAGAGAAUGUAGUUGAGCCUAAUACAAAAAAAAGG